rfam:Macaca mulatta chromosome 13, whole genome shotgun sequence.
UGGCGCCCGAACAGGGACCUGGAAACGAGGGACUCCGUGAAGAAGAGGAUGCCAAAGGACGGUCGACCGCUAACGAAGACAAAAGGAGUUGAACUCUUCAGAUCACCGCGGGAACCUGCCGCGUCAGAAUCGAAGGUAAGUGACGCGUCCGAAAUGGGACAAGAAUUAAGCCAACAUCAAAUAUAUGUAGGACAAUUGAAAGAGGCUUUAAAGAUACGAGGAGUAAAGGUUAAAGGUAAUGAUUUGUUUAAAUUUUUUGAUUUUGUAAAAGACACUUGCCCUU